rnacentral:rRNA from 1 species
CAGUCGUACGCUUCUUUUUCCCCGGAGCUUGCUCCACCGGAAAAAGAAGAGUGGCGAACGGGUGAGUAACACGUGGGUAACCUGCCCAUCAGAAGGGGAUAACACUUGGAAACAGGUGCUAAUACCGUAUAACAAUCGAAACCGCAUGGUUUUGAUUUGAAAGGCGCUUUCGGGUGUCGCUGAUGGAUGGACCCGCGGUGCAUUAGCUAGUUGGUGAGGUAACGGCUCACCAAGGCUACGAUGCAUAGCCGACCUGAGAGGGUGAUCGGCCACAUUGGGACUGAGACACGGCCCAAACUCCUACGGGAGGCAGCAGUAGGGAAUCUUCGGCAAUGGACGAAAGUCUGACCGAGCAACGCCGCGUGAGUGAAGAAGGUUUUCGGAUCGUAAAACUCUGUUGUUAGAGAAGAACAAGGAUGAGAGUAACUGUUCAUCCCUUGACGGUAUCUAACCAGAAAGCCACGGCUAACUACGUGCCAGCAGCCGCGGUAAUACGUAGGUGGCAAGCGUUGUCCGGAUUUAUUGGGCGUAAAGCGAGCGCAGGCGGUUUCUUAAGUCUGAUGUGAAAGCCCCCGGCUCAACCGGGGAGGGUCAUUGGAAACUGGGAGACUUGAGUGCAGAAGAGGAGAGUGGAAUUCCAUGUGUAGCGGUGAAAUGCGUAGAUAUAUGGAGGAACACCAGUGGCGAAGGCGGCUCUCUGGUCUGUAACUGACGCUGAGGCUCGAAAGCGUGGGGAGCAAACAGGAUUAGAUACCCUGGUAGUCCACGCCGUAAACGAUGAGUGCUAAGUGUUGGAGGGUUUCCGCCCUUCAGUGCUGCAGCUAACGCAUUAAGCACUCCGCCUGGGGAGUACGACCGCAAGGUUGAAACUCAAAGGAAUUGACGGGGGCCCGCACAAGCGGUGGAGCAUGUGGUUUAAUUCGAAGCAACGCGAAGAACCUUACCAGGUCUUGACAUCCUUUGACCACUCUAGAGAUAGAGCUUCCCCUUCGGGGGCAAAGUGACAGGUGGUGCAUGGUUGUCGUCAGCUCGUGUCGUGAGAUGUUGGGUUAAGUCCCGCAACGAGCGCAACCCUUAUUGUUAGUUGCCAUCAUUCAGUUGGGCACUCUAGCAAGACUGCCGGUGACAAACCGGAGGAAGGUGGGGAUGACGUCAAAUCAUCAUGCCCCUUAUGACCUGGGCUACACACGUGCUACAAUGGGAAGUACAACGAGUCGCGAAGUCGCGAGGCUAAGCUAAUCUCUUAAAGCUUCUCUCAGUUCGGAUUGUAGGCUGCAACUCGCCUACAUGAAGCCGGAAUCGCUAGUAAUCGCGGAUCAGCACGCCGCGGUGAAUACGUUCCCGGGCCUUGUACACACCGCCCGUCACACCACGAGAGUUUGUAACACCCGAAGUCG